GGGUGCUUAGCUCAGUUGGUUAGAGCGCACGGUUCACAUCCGUGAGGUUCGGAGGUUCGAGUCCUCUAGCGCCCA
rnacentral:tRNA from 1 species